rnacentral:rRNA from 1 species
CGUAGGAGGCGAGCGUUAUCCGGAUUCACUGGGCGUAAAGCGCGUGCAGGCGGUUUGGUAAGUUGGGCGUGAAAGCUCCCGGCUCAACUGGGAGAGGUCGUUCAAUACUACCAAACUAGAGAAUAGAAGAGGAAGAUGGAAUUCCCGGUGUAGUGGUGAAAUGCGUAGAUAUCGGGAGGAACACCAGUGGCGAAGGCGGUCUUCUGGUCUAUUUCUGACGCUCAGACGCGACAGCUAGGGUAGUAAACGGGAUUAGAGACCCCGGUAAUCCUAGCCGUAAACGAUGUGAACUUGGCGUCGGUGGCUUAAACACCAUCGGUGCCGAAGCAAACGCGAUAAGUUCACCGCCUGGGGACUACGGCCGCAAGGUUA